AGAGUUUGAUCCUGGCUCAGAGUGAACGCUGGCGGCAGGCCUAAUACAUGCAAGUCGAACGGCAGCACAGCAGAGCUUGCUCUGUGGGUGGCGAGUGGCGGACGGGUGAGGAAUACAUGGGAAUCUGCCCAGUCGUGGGGGAUAACGCAGGGAAACUUACGCUAAUACCGCAUGCGCCCUUCGGGGGAAAGCCGGGGACCUUCGGGCCUGGCGCGAUUGGAUGAGCCCAUGUCGGAUUAGCUAGUUGGCGGGGUAACGGCCCACCAAGGCGACGAUCCGUAGCUGGUCUGAGAGGAUGAUCAGCCACACUGGAACUGAGACACGGUCCAGACUCCUACGGGAGGCAGCAGUAGGGAAUAUUGGACAAUGGGCGCAAGCCUGAUCCAGCCAUGCCGCGUGAGUGAAGAAGGCCCUCGGGUUGUAAAGCUCUUUUGUCCGGAAAGAAAAGCGCCGGGUUAAUACCCUGGUGUCCUGACGGUACCGGAAGAAUAAGCACCGGCUAACUUCGUG
rnacentral:rRNA from 1 species